rnacentral:rRNA from 1 species
UACGUAGGGUGCGAGCGUUAAUCGGAAUUACUGGGCGUAAAGCGUGCGCAGGCGGUGAUGUAAGACAGAUGUGAAAUCCCCGGGCUUAACCUGGGAAUGGCAUUUGGGACUGCAAGGCUUGAGUGCGGCAGAGGAGACUGGAAUUCCCGGUGUAGCAGUGAAAUGCGUAGAUAUCGGGAGGAAUACCGAUGGCGAAGGCAGGUCUCUGGGCUGACACUGACGCUCAUGCACGAAAGCGUGGGGAGCAAACAGG